GGAGGUCUGGUCGGAUCCACAUCACAGGGCCCCAAAAUUUGGGGGCCCAAAAAUAAUUUAAACACUGCUGGGCUAAAACUUAAAAUAAAAUAAAAAAAACUUCCCUUUCCCAUACUUCUCCCUUCCCCGUAACUUCUUGAAACAAUGAAACAAGGAAACCAAAAAUAACUCUUCAAAUUCUCUCUCCUUCCCAUGGUGAUUUGACUGAUUUCAAAAAAUUAGUCAAUUACAACCUUCAUCAACUACUCAACGGUUCAAUCUUCGACCUACAUUCCUUUUCUCGUUCCUUUGAGGCUUUGAAUCUCACUUUCUCUCUCUUCCGUUCAAUGCUCUCUACCAGAAAAUUUGUCGAAGUUCGAUGGCAAGGCGGUGUAUUUCGAUGGAUUGGAACUCCGAGUAGAAACGAACAAGGUGGAAUUUGGUCAAUUAAGUAGGGUUUGUUGAAGAUUUGGGUUUAAUUUUAUUGAUUUGAUUGUUGUUCAUGUAUGUGGAAUUUGGUCAAUUAGGUAGGGUUUGUUGAAGAUUUGGGUUUAAUUUUAUUGAUUUGAUUGUUGUUCAUGUAUGUGGAAUUUGGUCAAUUAGGUAGGGUUUGUUGAAGAUUUGGGUUUAAUUUUAUUGAUUUGAUUGUUGUUCAUGUAUGUGGAAUUUGUUCAUUUUAAUUGAAAAUUGAAGCGUGUAGUAUGUAAAUUUUGAAUUAAUAUUGUUCAUCUUUAUUUUCCUA